GGCCGGUUGGCGCAAUGGUAGCGCGCAGCCCUCCUAAGAGGACCAGGCUGAGGCUGUGGGUUCGAGUCCCACAUCGGUCG